rnacentral:rRNA from 1 species
CGCAUCUGUGCAUGCAGCAUAUCAAUAAGCGGAGGAAAAGAAACUAACAAGGAUUCCCUCAGUAACGGCGAGUGAAGCGGGAAGAGCUCAAAUUUGAAAUCUUGAAAGGUCACCUUUCACGAAUUGUAGUUUAAAGAAGUGUUUUCUGUUACGAUCGUAAUAUAAGUUCUUUGGAAUAGGACAUCACAGAGGGUGAGAAUCCCGUCUAUGAUUGCGAUUUGUAGCUUUGUGAUACACUUUCAAAGAGUCGGGUUGUUUGGGAAUGCAGCCCAAAACGGGAGGUAAAUUUCUUCUAAGGCUAAAUAUUGGCGAGAGACCGAUAGCGAACAAGUACCGUGAGGGAAAGAUGAAAAGAACUUUGAAAAGAGAGUUAAAUAGUACGUGAAAUUGUCAAAAGGGAAGCGUUUAACACCAGUGUUGUUUUCUGAAAAUCAACCUCUGUUAGCUUUAUGCAUGUUUGUUUAGACCUAAUCAGCUAUCUUGCAUGUUCUAUUGUUUGCAGUGGUGCACUUUUCAGUUUACAGGUCAACAUCAGUUUUUUUCUACCGUAAAAAAGUUAAAGAAAGGUAGCUCAUGGCUCCGGUCGUGAGUGUUAUAGUCUUUUUCCUAUGCGGUAGGAGAGACUGAGGUCUGCAGUGUAGGCUAUUUGGCUAGAUACUCAGGUGCUAUGUGAUACCAUUUCAUAAACAACUUGUUGAUUAUGUUUUGUCUAUUGCAUACUCGCUUGUACUAUCAUACCUACGCUUAGGAUGUUGACGAUCAGCUGAGCGCG